rnacentral:rRNA from 1 species
AUUGAACGCUGGCGGCAUGCCUUACACAUGCAAGUCGAACGGCAGCGGGGGAGAAGCUUGCUUUUCCUGCCGGCGAGUGGCGAACGGGUGAGUAAUACAUCGGAACGUGCCCUGUAGUGGGGGAUAACUAGUCGAAAGAUUAGCUAAUACCGCAUACGACCUGCGGGUGAAAGUGGGGGACCGCAAGGCCUCAUGCUAUAGGAGCGGCCGAUGUCUGAUUAGCUAGUUGGUGGGGUAAAGGCCUACCAAGGCGACGAUCAGUAGCUGGUCUGAGAGGACGAUCAGCCACACUGGGACUGAGACAAGACCCAGACGCCGACGGGAGGCAGCAGUGGGGAAUUUUGGACAAUGGGCGAAAGCCUGAUCCAGCAAUGCCGCGUGUGUGAAGAAGGCCUUCGGGUUGUAAAGCACUUUUGUCCGGAAAGAAAUGGCUCUGGUUAAUACCUGGGGUCGAUGACGGUACCGGAAGAAUAAGGACCGGCUAACUACGUGCCAGCCGCCGCGGUAA